rnacentral:rRNA from 1 species
UACGAAGGGGGCUAGCGUUGCUCGGAAUUACUGGGCGUAAAGCGCACGUAGGCGGAUUGUUAAGUCGGGGGUGAAAUCCUGGAGCUCAACUCCAGAACUGCCUUCGAUACUGGCGAUCUCGAGUUCGGGAGAGGUGAGUGGAACUGCGAGUGUAGAGGUGAAAUUCGUAGAUAUUCGCAAGAACACCAGUGGCGAAGGCGGCUCACUGGCCCGAUACUGACGCUGAGGGUGCGAAAGCGUGGGGAGCAAACAGG